rnacentral:rRNA from 1 species
AGUCACUGACAUUAGAUACCCGUGUAGUCCAGGGUGUAAACGCUGCAGACUUGGUGUUGGAAGCCCUUUGGGGCAUUCAGUGCCGGAGAGAAGUUGUUAAGUCUGCUACUUGGGGAGUACGUCCGCAAGGAUGAAACUUAAAGGAAUUGGCGGGGAGCACCGCAACGGGAGGAGCGUGCGGUUUAAUUGGAUUCAACACCGUAAACUCACCAGGGAAGACUGUUACAUGAAGGCCGAGAUGAAGACUCUGCUAGAUUUCCAG